rnacentral:rRNA from 1 species
AGGACGAACGCUGGCGGCGUGCUUAACACAUGCAAGUCGAGCGGAAAGGCCCUUCGGGGUACUCGAGCGGCGAACGGGUGAGUAACACGUGAGCAAUCUGCCCUUAGCUUCGGGAUAGCUCCGGGAAACCGGAAUUAAUACCGGAUAUGACUAUGGCUGACAUCAGCCACGGUGGAAAGUUUUUCGGCUAGGGAUGAGCUCGCGGCCUAUCAGCUAGUUGGUGGGGUAACGGCCUACCAAGGCGACG